GAUGAACGCUGACAGAAUGCUUAACACAUGCAAGUCUACUUGAACUUCGGUUUGGGUGGCGGACGGGUGAGUAACGCGUACAGAACUUGCCUCACAGUUAGGGACAACAUUUGGAAACGAAUGCUAAUACCUGAUAUUAUGAUUUUAGGGCAUCCUAGGAUUAUGAAAGCUAUAUGUGCUGUGAGAGAGCUUUGCGUCCCAUUAGCUAGUUGGAGAGGUAACGGCUCACCAAGGCGAUGAUGGGUAGCCGGCCUGAGAGGGUGAACGGCCACAAGGGGACUGAGACACGGCCCUUACUCCUACGGGAGGCAGCAGUGGGGAAUAUUGGACAAUGGACCAAAAGUCUGAUCCAGCAAUUCUGUGUGCACGAUGACGUUUUUCGGAAUGUAAAGUGCUUUCAGUUGGGAAGAAAAAAAUGACGGUACCAACAGAAGAAGUGACGGCUAAAUACGUG
rnacentral:rRNA from 1 species